rnacentral:rRNA from 3 species
CGAACGCUGGCGGCGUGCCUAACACAUGCAAGUCGAGCGAAGAAUUUAUCAUGAAGCCUUCGGGUGGAAUGAUAAACUUCUUAGCGGCGGAUGGGUGAGUAACGCGUGAGGAACCUGCCUUCCACAAGGGGAUAGCCUCGGGAAACCGGGAUUAAUACCCUAUGAAACUUAGCAAUCGCAUGAUAUUUAAGUUAAAGCGUUAGCGGUGGAAGAUGGCCUCGCGUCCCAUUAGCUAGUUGGUGAGUUAAAAGCUCACCAAGGCGACGAUGGGUAGCCGGCUUGAGAGAGUGACCGGCCACACUGGAACUGAGACACGGUCCAGACUCCUACGGGAGGCAGCAGUGGGGAAUAUUGCACAAUGGAGGGAACUCUGAUGCAGCGACGCCGCGUGAGCGAUGAAGGCCUUCGGGUCGUAAAGCUCUGUCCUAUGGGACGAUAAUGACGGUACCAUAGGAGGAAGCCCCGGCUAACUACGUGCCAGCAGCCGCGGUAAUACGUAGGGGGCGAGCGUUGUCCGGAAUUACUGGGCGUAAAGGGUACGCAGGCGGUCAAAUAAGUCAGAUGUGAAAGGCGUAGGCUUAACCUAUGUAAGCAUUUGAAACUGUUUGGCUUGAGUUAAGGAGAGGAAAGUGGAAUUCCUGGUGUAGCGGUGAAAUGCGUAGAUAUCAGGAGGAAUAUCAGUGGCGAAGGCGACUUUCUGGACUUAAACUGACGCUGAGGUACGAAAGCGUGGGGAGCAAACAGGAUUAGAUACCCUGGUAGUCCACGCUGUAAACGAUGAGUGCUAGGUGUCGGAGGGUAACCUUCGGUGCCGAAGUUAACACAUUAAGCACUCCGCCUGGGGAGUACGUUCGCAAGAAUGAAACUCAAAGGAAUUGACGGGGACCCGCACAAGCAGCGGAGCAUGUGGUUUAAUUCGAUGCAACGCGAAGAACCUUACCAGGGCUUGACAUCCCUCGGGCCGUCUUAGAGAUAAGACCUUCUCUUCGGAGACUGAGGGACAGGUGGUGCAUGGUUGUCGUCAGCUCGUGUCGUGAGAUGUUGGGUUAAGUCCCGCAACGAGCGCAACCCUUGCCUUUAGUUGCCAACAGUUAGGCUGUGCACUCUAGAGGGACUGCCGAUGAUAAAUCGGAGGAAGGUGGGGAUGACGUCAAAUCAUCAUGCCCUUUAUGUCCUGGGCUACACACGUGCUACAAUGGUCGGUACAACGGGUAGCGACUUAGUGAUAAGGAGCCAAUCCCUUAAAACCGAUCCCAGUUCGGAUUGCAGGCUGCAACUCGCCUGCAUGAAGCCGGAGUUGCUAGUAAUCGUGGAUCAGAAUGCCACGGUGAAUGCGUUCCCGGGUCUUGUACACACCGCCCGUCACACCAUGGGAGUUAGCAAUACCCGAAGCCAGUGAGCCAACCGUAAGGGAGCAACUGUCGAAGGUAGGGUUUAUGACUGGGG